GAUGAAGAACGCAGCGAAAUGCGAUAAGUAGUGUGAAUUGCAGAAUUCAGUGAAUCAUCGAAUCUUUGAACGCACAUUGCGCCCCUUGGUAUCCCGAGGGGCAUGCCUGUUCGAGCGUCAUUUCACCACUCAAGCCUGGCUUGGUGUUGGGCGACGUCCCCUUUAGGGACGCGCCUCGAAACGCUCGGCGGCGUGGCACCGGCUUUAAGCGUAGCAGAAUCUUUCGCUUUGGAAGUCGGGGCCCAGCCUGCCGGAAUACCUACUCGUAAGGUUGACCUCGGAUCAGGCAGGGAUACCCGCUGAACUUAAGCAUAUCAAUAAGCGGAGGA
rnacentral:misc_RNA from 1 species